CGUGGUCCUGGUCGCGAGCACAUGGAAGUGAGGUCGAGAUUUGUGUCUGUGAGACGCGCGACUGAUCAUCAGAAAAAAGGGAAUAUAAAAGCAAGAAAGCAUCAACGAAAACGGGCUGAACGGCGCGGGUGGGUGGUGUUGCAGACCCUCGUACUGUCCCAGGUUUUACUGCAGCUGUCGCACUCAGACAAGUGAAGAUACCGAUCCAAAUGGGAAGGAUGCAAAGAAGCAGUCAGUGUUGUAUUUGAUUCACACACACAUAUAUACUGUAUGGUUCUACUUCCUCCUUUCUUUGAGAGGACACAGAUACACCCUGAAUGGGCCCCUGUGGUGAUCUACAUUGUGGUCGGGAAGUACCUAGUGUUACAACUGUCAUGCUGGUCUGCUUAAAGGGACAGUGCUGAUCACUUUCAUAUGCAAUACAUUCUCUUUUUCUUAUAGACUGCCAUAUCUACAUGUUCAGGACGUGAAAUUGGCUCACUUGAAAUGCAGAAAUGGACACAUUUUUUCAAUAAAAGCACAAGUUGAAUAGAUAUAAUAAUUUCUAUAGUCUAUAAAUCUUCACACCCUUGAAAAAUUAAAUAGAGCAGUCUACUCAAGUUUUCACAACAUGACAAAUGCAUAAUUGCUGGUGUCAUGAGACUUCUGGGCCAGAAUACAUAGAGAAUUUGUAAUAUUAUACUAUAAGUCUAACCACAAUGAGGUGAAAGAGGAAUGGAAUUUGUUUUGCAAUAGUUUCUUAAACCACAUACAUCUUUACUUGAAUAUUCCUUGCGCACGUUGUAUGUAUUCUCUGGCACUUUACACUGUUGAAUGUUUUGAAAAAGCUGCUUGUCUGAAUAAAUUUGUCUCAAUGGCAGAUGUUUACUAA